rnacentral:lncRNA from 14 species
AUGCACAAGGUAUGUGCACAGGGGAGAUGUCCCUCCUCAGCUCCUGCUCCUGCCAACUUCCUUGCAGCCGAUCAGCCGAAGGGCAUAACUAUGUCUCCCUGCUUUGUUCCUGUCUGCACACAGCUGUAUCAACAAAGUGAUGAGGUCUGGACCAUGGAAGACAGUGCUCAUUGUCACUCCAGCUGUGCCUGUUCUCCUCGGUACAGAGUAGAGGCAUACUCUUUGGAUACAAGCAUCUCUAAGGCCAAGCAGGAGUGAGGUGGUAAGACUGUUCAGCUGUACACUAUCAUUGUUCCAUUCCUGAUGUUCCAGGGGAGCAGUAGAGGAGCAGAGUCAGCCCCUGAAAUGUCAUUCACGGAACUGCUAAAGGAGAAAUACAUACUUGAAUUAAACUUUUCCUUUUCCAAAGGUAUCUAAUCUAUUUAUUUAUUUUCUUAAAAGACUGACUUCACCUUACCAUAGUUUGGGGGGUUUUGUCCAUGUGCAGGUCAAAACUGUCUAGGUGAAGUUGCUGAUAGGUAUCUUUUUUCUUCUCCUCUAACUUUAAUACUUAAUCUGUAAACCUCCUGGAGGACUGGUAGAAAUCGAUUAAGUGGAUAACACUGGGACUUUACUCCUCCUUUUCCACCUAAUUAAAUGGGUUUUUUUUCAAACUCUUAGCAACUUUAACUGUCACAGUAUGUCAGUUGCAGAUCUUCCUCUCUGGUAUCUUUUUGCCUCUCCCCAUUUUAUUUUUAAUAUAUAACUUAUUUCUAGCAAAAAAUCUCCUUUUAUAUGCCUGUUACAGGCUAUCAAAAGAAUCUACCAGUGAGAAAUCUGAUUGAUGAGAACAGGAGGAGGAAAAUCCCU